GUUCAUGUUGUAUUGGAAUUAUUUUUUUUGAAAAUUAUGGUUUAAUGUUCUAUCUUACACCAUGGGGGGGUGGUGUUGCUGUGAGUCUCCGAAUUGACAUCGGUCGCCCACUGACGUAGAGUUCAGAUCUGCCUUGAGGGCACUUCCUCCUUCAAGAACCUACAAUGAAAGUCCACACAUGCCGGAGAUGCUGCAAUAGGGGACCUUCCCAUACUUAAGUUAGCCGGAGCUUGAGAACAGAGAAG
rnacentral:lncRNA from 1 species